CAGAUAGCACCGCCCCCGGCCCCCGCAUACCUCGAGCCCCACGCCCUCUCUCCCGCACGCAAACUCGUCUCCCUCUCUUCCCCUCUCAGCACGCAAAAACCAUCUUUCGAUGAAUCUGGCUGCCCACGUUGGCGCUGCUGUAGGAGGCGGUGGAUCCCUCCUUCAACACGCACCUCCGGCCGCUCGAUGCAGGGCGGCGCGGUCAGAAUAGCCGGAGAAAUAGGUGGAGGGAGAGAGGUGAGGGCAAUACAUCAACAUCAUGCGGUAGUGCAGCGCAACCAUGGUGGCCGUGACCAUUCAUGACCGGCCUUGACGGGCGCUGCUUGGGGUGAGAGAGGCAGGCGUCGAGCAGCGUCGAGCGCGUCCGAUGGAGUGAUGCCAUGGUGAGCCUUCUUUCAAUCCUGAUUUUCCCCUUCGCUCCUGAUCUCUCACACUCUCUUGUAUGCGCCGGCUUUGUGGGUGGCUAAAUCAAUCCAAUGUAUGCCCGAAUUUCUAACUAGGUGCGCUCAAACUUUCAGAAUGAUGGUGCUUUAUUGUGUUGUUGGUGUAUAUUUUUAAGGUAUAUACGCACAUUCCCGUGUGGAUUUCGUCAGCUGCACAAGAUCUUCUUGAUAAGAUUCUUGAACCAAGCCCAAUGAAGAGGACACAGGCAGGUGUACCCCAGCCGCUGGAAGCAAUAGCGGCCAAGGCUCUACCGCUUUCCCAAAUAGGUCCUUGGCUGACACGCUGCUCCAGCUCCUCCGGCGAGAUUGUACCAGCCUGCGGUGUUAAUCCUACAAUUAAAUGACCAUCAAUUUAGUGUUGGGUGGCAUGCAGGUGAUAGCUCCAGCAAAUUGCAUGGACAUUCUUGAUCUUGUUUUACUGUGCUUUGGUUGGUUGUAAUAGAGAAAACCAUCUUUAUAUUAUGGCUGGAUGCAUGGUUGACUCCAGAAAAAAGCAGCUCAGAGGCUAUUGUAAAAAAACAUUAUGAG